GACGAACGCUGGCGGCGUGCUUAACACGUGCAAGUCGAGCGGUAAGGCCCUUUCGGGGGUACACGAGCGGCGAACGGGUGAGUAACACGUGGGUGACCUGCCCUCAGCUCUGGGAUAAGCCUGGGAAACCGGGUCUAAUACUGGAUAUGACUCCAUGACGCAUGUUGUGGGGUGGAAAGCCUUGUGCGGCUGAGGAUGGGCCCGCGGCCUAUCAGCUUGUUGGUGGGGUGAUGGCCUACCAAGGCGACGACGGGUAGCCGGCCUGAGAGGGCGACCGGCCACACUGGGACUGAGACACGGCCCAGACUCCUACGGGAGGCAGCAGUGGGGAAUCUUGCGCAAUGGGCGAAAGCCUGACGCAGCGACGCCGCGUGAGGGAUGACGGCCU
rnacentral:rRNA from 1 species